GUUUUAUUUUAGCUCAUGGCUUACUUUGUGUUGAUUAGACAGCCGCACAAAAAUAUUGCACGAAGAGUUCCCAUUUCCACCCCUGCCUUCCACUGGAAUAUGAGGAGAUCACCAAGCUGUCCCCAUCCUUUCUAACAGGACUGUAACAGAACCCAGGAUAAUCUGAAAAGAUAACCACACGCAUCAAUAAGAAGGAGGUGUUCAGUGACUUCCGAGAUCGGUACACUUGUUUUGGGUAUCUAUGGAUUUACUCAUUUUCAUCAGACAGGGUAUAAUCUCUCCUUUCCAUAACUGGUGUUGAAUAUGUAUCACGGGACUUUUUGUUUACAUUGGGACUUCCAGGAGUCUGUCAGCAAGCUACCAGUCGUAAUACAGAAGACCUGUAUUACCUACACUAUGCCACCUGAACAGGGAUUUAUGGAAAAGCUUUAAACAACUCAUUAUUUCUUUGAGGCAUGAACACAAGGGCUUCAAGCAGACAAGCGCCCUCCUGUGGGUAGUAGAUGCUACACAACGGAUGCACCAGAGCUAAGCUUGCAGCCCCCACGUGGAAGGAAGCCACAGAUGGCAAGACAGGACCUACCUUCCAGGGUUGCUACUACUAGGCCCACAUGACAGGCCCUCAAUCCAACGAAGUUACCACCCGCCCGCCAAGGGAUUGGGCCGGAUAAUCCUCAGCUCUGGCUUUCUUCUCCCUUCAACCCCAACCGUCGCAGCUUUAGUGCUUUGAGGCUUCUUUUUAUUGUUAUUGCUGCCAAUGGUAUUAAUGUUUAGGGAAAUAUAAAAAGAUAGUUAAUUACCCUAACAUGAAUCAUGUUGCCUGAGGAUUCAAAAAGGGAAAAAAAAUUACUUUAGGUAGACUGUCUUGCUCCCCUCGUGUCAUUUUCAUAGUUCAAGAGUCGUGUAACUUAACCUCCAAACACUGGGCUAAAAAUUACCUUAAAAAUAAUUUAAUUGUAAUCAAAAACUAAUGAUGUAAUGUAUGUGAUUAACAUAACAAUAAAAAAUUUUAAAGAAAAAUUUUUAGUAAAUUUUUUUAGCAAUUUACUUUAGUAAAAAUUUUUAGCAGUAAAAAUAUUCAGGCUAAAUGGUAAUAUUUAGUUACACACACACAAAAGAGGGAGGUUAAAAAAAAAAGGCCUUGA